GAACUGAAGAGUUUGAUCCUGGCUCAGAUUGAACGCUGGCGGUAUGCUUAACACAUGCAAGUCGAACGGAAACGGAACUAGCUUGCUAGUAGACGUCGAGUGGCGGACGGGUGAGUAACGCGUAGGAAUCUGCCUGAUAGUGGGGGAUAGCCCGGAGAAAUUCGGAUUAAUACCGCAUAAUCUAUUCGUAGUAAAGUGGGGGACUUUCGAGCCUCACGCUAUCAGAUGAGCCUGCGUAAGAUUA
rnacentral:rRNA from 1 species